rnacentral:lncRNA from 1 species
CUGCUGGGGGGCGGGCUUGUGAGGUGAGCUGGGCAUGCCAGUACCAGCUGAGCUAUGCAGGCCUGGAAGCAGUAUGAUUAAUGUAGGAGACAUGAACACAGCAACACAGCAACAGGAGAGCUGCAAAACUGUGAAGAGGAACGAAAAUAGCAUCAGGAAGGGGCUGUGAAGCUGAGGGCCACCAGGUGCAGAGCAGUGCCCAUGGCCUGAGAGUGGUCCAGAACAAGGACGAAAACCACAACCUCCGGAGCAGCCAGAGCAGGCACUGAACACCAGGAAACUGAUGUCACUUCUACACAGGACCAGACCCAGGCUGGCGUGAGACCUGGUUGCUUCUGCGAAGUGAACAAACCAACUAGCAGAAGAGUUCAAACCCCUGAUGAAAGGGAUUAUGAUUUUUGUGCAUGAUGAUAAGACCAGAAGCCAGACUGACAUCUGCAAAGCCCUACCAACAAAGCUUGUUGCCUUGCCUUCAGAGGUGCACAGCAACCCUCUGGUGAGUGAACUGAACCCCUGUCCAGAGGCAGAAGCACAGGGAAAUUCAAGCAACCAGCUCCUCUUCCGCCUUAAGAUUUCCCAGAUUUUGAAGAGACCUCUCUCCCUGUUGAUAUUCUCUGCACGGAUUCAUGGCCAGUUAAAGUCUCAGCUAAAAAUAAAAUAGACUUGGGUUAACCUCAGGCUGCUUCCUGGAGAGAGGAAUGCCCUGGCUCUGCUCAGCCUCCAAGAGAAGAGAGUGCUGCAGGCCCAGAUGUGGCAUCACCAGAGCAGGAACAUGGCAAUUUGGACAGAAGGAAUAAGGGAGAGAAAAGGGAUCUGGCAGUGCUGCUGAUGGGGGAAAAUGAAAAGCAAAAAGAAAAAGGAAAAGCUAGGAAAAGCCCUGGUCCUUCCCACAGGCUUGGUGUGGCAAUGUAAGGCAGGAAAGGGCAGCCCU